CUCCAGUUCAUAGAUUUGGAGGGGAAUAUGAGUCGAGGGGCGGGAUCGGAGACAAGCCAAAGAGAGGUUCUGGUCGGCUCUAGGGCGGAAGCUUUGAUAGUGGAAGGCCGGGUUGGGUGUUGGAGUAUUCUCUCUAUCUGUUUAGUUGAUAUUGUGAUGGCGGCGCAAGUCUGAUAAUUGGGGAGGAGAGGUGAGGACGUCACAGAUGGAUGGAAGCGGCAACAGAAGCAGGUGCUCUGUUUUAUUUCUCUUUUCUUGACCUAUGCAGCCAUGAGUUCUUCCGUAUGAAUACGCAAAUAUACCAUAUUUUGUGCUAUUUAGUUAAGUGGGUUUUCCGUGUGAUUUAUGGUGAGUUUUGAAUGAGGUCAUUUGAGCUGGCCACUCCCUAGCCCCUAGGAUUUGUUGGAGCUCCAAAGAUAUGUUUAUUCUUGGACAAUAAUGUACGUAUAGAUUGAUCUCCCUAAUUACAGUGUUUUGCUCAUAUUUACUACAGUCGCCAUGCUCAUGUUACUUUUUCUGCAAUUUCAUUACAUUGCAGUCCAGAUCAGAACAAAUAGAAGACAUUAUAGUUGUACUAUUGCAGUCAGAUUCAUGGUCCACUAAAUGUUUCUAAUCAUAUACUCUUAUAGCAGCCGUAUUGUGGUGCACAUAAACCAUGGGAAUAUAAUUCAAUCAGAUUUUAUUUUGUUUCAUGUUCAAAAAAACAUUAGGGGCUAUGUCAAUGUCAGAUAAUUUCUUUGAGAAUUUUUUUUGUUUCGAGAAUCAACAACCAACAAAUUCGAGCCCCUGUUGAGCAUUCCUUUUUUUGAUUUCUUUGGCCCUUUUUGUAGGUUUAUUAAUUUUCUGCGAUGUUGAACAUUAUUUGGGACCCUUAGUGUAUUCAUUAUGAAAUGCAAAACUGCGCUGAAUCCUUCAGUUUUAGGUUUUAACAAGAUUUAGGAUCACACUUGAUAUUAGGCUUUAAUAAGAUAUAGGAUCACACUGCGAAGUAAGUUCAAUCAUUGUCCUUUUAUUUGUUCAGCCCUUUGCAUUGUAUGUAUGGAUCUCUGGGUGUGAGCUUAAUCAAUUUUCUUCCAUAUAUUGUUUUGUCAUUGGGCGAGAGUAGUACUAGGAUGGGUGACCUCCUGGGAAGUCCUCGUGAAAGGGUUUCAUAUCUAGCCUACCCCAACUUGUUUGGGAUAAAAGGCUUCGUAAUUAAUAUUGUUUUGUCAUCCUAAAAUAGAUUUGUGCUGACUGGGAUUUGAUAGAUUCAUUUUCCAAUCAUUUCUGGAUCAUCAAACUUGCACAAGUACAACAAGGGAUUCAAAGAAAGAAUGAUACAUGGGCUAACUUAUGUGAACCAGAAGCUUGAUUGAUCGGGGCAUCAGGGCUUGGGAUUUCUUCCUGCAGGUUUUGUGAACUCCGUUGUGACUUGCAAGACACCACCCCCAAGCAUAUAUUAGUUGCGACUUGCCAGCAUGUAUGUGAGGGUCUUCUUUCUGGUUCAGUUUUUUUAUUCGGUCUGUAAGGAUUUCAUUUGGUUCCUUGAUCCCUUCGUGCAAGUUUUGUGAACUCCGUCUGAAGAGGGAGUUCGAGUACAAUUUCAGUUCAGGCAUAGCCGAUACAAUAUCUUCUUUCUCUGGUACUUUAUCAUUGUUAGCCGAAUUCAGAACCCCAUAGCAUGUCAAAUUACAUGAUAUUUUUUAUAAUAUUUUCCUAGUACAACUAUAGGGAAAAAUACACCAAAUUAUGUCCAAGUAACCAUAUGGUGUGCCUGAAUUCAAAAACCCCGUCUAUUUUGUUUGAAGGCAUAUGGUGUGAAAUUACCUUACCAGAUUGAGUCUUAGCCUAAUGAUUUAAGAACUUGAAAUCAUUUGUAGAUUGAGGUUGCAUAUCCAAACCUGAAAGUAUUGCUAGAAUGAAUGAACUGCUAGCAUCCAGUGCAUGAGAAUCUGAGAUUUAUUUUGGUGGCAUGACGUUUUAGAGAGCAGUUGCCAUUAAUUUUGAUUGUACACCCCUUCUGGUUUCCUCCUCUUGAAUGCCCAUUUGGGUUAUUUCUUAUGAUGAAAGAGGUUUUGUCUGGUACUAAAGAUCUUAGUUUUGUUUUGAGUGACUUCAACUUUCAUUAUAGACUGAUGAGAAUUGUCUUCAAGAAGGUUUGAUUGGAGUUUCUCUUGAUUGGAUGAUCUCAAGUUGCCUCUUUUGUAAAUGAUUCGAAUGUCUCGGAAGUCUGGUUAAGACUAAGCAAUGCAUGGAAACUGAGUCGUUCACGGGAAACUACUUUUGUACUUCCUCCAUCCCUAGAUUCUUGUCUUAGAUUUGUUUAGAUACAGAUGUAUCUAAUACUAAAACGUGACUUGAUACAUCCGUAUUUAGACAAAUGUAAGACAAGAAUUUUGGGACGGAGGGAGUAGAUAUUAAACUCCAUCACACAUGGAUGACCAUGAUUCCUUUUCAUGUAGCAAUUAGCAUUCCCCUUGCAUUACUUUCUUUAGGUAGCUCAUAAAUGGAGAGAAGAAAGGUUUUAUCCAGUUUUAUGAAGUCUUUUUUGUUAUGCCUGAGUGUUUAAUAUAUCACUCAUAAUAUUUUAUGUUUCUCUUUAUGUCUUGGUGCAAAGAAGCAGGGUCAGUUUCAGAGCUACCCGCUCUCCCACACACACAUGGGCUAAGAGAAAUGCAGUUGGAGGGGAUAAUUGUAGAAAUAAAUAUAUAUUUAUUUUAGUAGUAUUCAUACUAGCGUUGUGCUUAUGUUUAAAGCUUCAGACUCUGAUUUUGAGCAUCCGGUGAAUUGUCUUGACUCUUAUUACAAAAACAAGCGAUAUGUUCAGGAAACAUUUUACUUCGAUGUUAUCCUCCCAUAUGAAAAUCUUUUUUUAGGUUAAUUAUGCCAACAAGCACCAUAUGUCAUUUUUAGUAACGAGUUUUAUCCAAAUUAUGAAGUAAACAUGUUCAUACAUCGUAACUGUAGCUCUUCUCCAAUAUGUUAAUGUUGUUUUCUCAUUUAUAUCCUGCUAAAUAUAUGUGGCUAUGAAAGGCAUUAACUUUUCAUCCUAUAUUUUCCAAAUAUCAUCUACUCCCUCCGUUUCUAAAUAUUUGUCUUUUUAGAGAUUUCAAAUGGACUACCACAUAUGGAUGUAUAUAGACAUACUUUAGAGUCUAGACUCACUCAUUUUGCUCCGUAUGUAGUCAUUUAUUGAAAUCUCUAGAAAGACAAAUAUUUAGGAACGAAGGGAGUAGCUUCUGUUUAGACAAUGCCUACAACUACAAAGGAGAUGUGACUUUCCUUUGUUGUGGUGGGUGUUCAUGCGCUCUGGUGGGUGAUACCACUACCGUAACAAUCUACUGAAAUGGCAACUACCAGAAGUCAAAAUGCAAUAUGGUACAUGGAGGAAGAGCCCACCAUCAAAGGUGAAAAAGACCCCCUCAAAAAAAUCAAAGGUGGAAAAGAGUCCAAUAAAAGAAAAACAGCACAGCAAGGCGCGCGUCCCCUUCUACUAUGAUGUAUGUCUGCCCAUAUAGUUUUUUUCUAAAAUCAUUGUAAAUAAGCCUCAGAACUAUGUUUUUGGCUAUCAUGCUACCAUCCAAUGUACUACUCCCGCUGUUUUUAAAUAAGUCUUUUUAAAAAUUUCAAUAUAAACUACAUACGGAUGUAUAUAGACAUACUUUAGAGUGUAGAUUCACCCAUUUUACUCAUUUUAGAGUGUAGUUCAUAUUAGAGUUUCUACAGACUUAUAUUUAGGAAUGGAGGAAGUAAUAUAUACUGAUGUGUAUGAACAAUGUACCGAAGUAUCUAUUUCCUUGUGCUUCAAGGUUUUUUUAUCAGUCUCUAAACACUGUUACUUACAUGGUUUGAAUGCUUGAUUUGCUCUUGCUUUUUGUGUUAGGGCAAAAAGCACGGGGCGUCGACCCGUUGGCUGGGCAGCUGGGGUAGCUACCAGCCCACACGAGUUCAAGCCCCAGCUUUGACGCGUGGUGCUCGCGGUGUUUCUCCUAUAAAAAAAUGCCAACGAGAGUUAACCCUUGGGUUGGUCUCAUUUUUUUGUGUUAGGGGGUGCAAUGGCUCAUCUAAAU
rnacentral:lncRNA from 1 species